rnacentral:lncRNA from 1 species
CAGGUGGGAGACUCGGGUAAGCCCGCAGUCGAAAAAGGGCCGAGAGAAGCUCGACCACGCUCUCGAUCCCCUCCUGGGCACAAGCGUGUCCAAACUCCACCUCGGGUACGUAGGCAGAGAAGUCCGGAUCGUGGGGUUCGGCAGAGUUCUCCAUCGAGAAGAUUCUGCAACUACGCCCCCCUCAAUGCCUCAAAGAUCCAAGUGCUGAUGGAGGUCAGGGAGCAGCUCUCCAG